CCCUUAGAUGUUCUGGGCCGCACGCGUGCUACACUGAGUGGAUCAGCGGGUCAGGUUGCGCGAAAGUGUUUCCUAAUCUUGAAAUCCGCUCGUGAUGGGGAUUGACGGUUGCAAUUUUCCGUCAUGAACGAGGAAUACCUUGUAAGCGCGGGUCAUCAUCCCGCGCUGAAUACGUCCCUGCCCUUUGUACACACCGCCCGUCGCUCCUACCGAUUGAGUGGUCCGGUGAGGCUUUGGGAUCUGAGCAAAGAGAGCGUUUCGCUCGUUUUGUCCGGAAAACUCAGUCGAACCUUAUCAUUUAGAGGAAGGAGAAGUCGUAACA
rnacentral:rRNA from 1 species